GAAAAGUGACGCGGACCAGAGGGGUCUUGCCUGUUCCGAGAGAAUGGAAGGGGGACGUGGCUAAACGUGAGGGGGCGUGGCCAAGAUGGCCGCGUGCGGGAUCCUCGGGUACCGGGAGCGAACGAGGAGGUUCUGGCUCAGUGCAUCCACUCUGGGAGAGCGUGGACCUGGUUCCUGGGGGCGAUCGCCAGUCACCCAUCAACAUUCGGUGGAGGGACAGUGUUUAUGAUCCCGGCUUAAAACCACUGACCAUCUCUUAUGACCCAGCCACCUGCCUCCACGUCUGGAAUAAUGGGUACUCUUUCCUCGUGGAAUUUGAAGAUUCUACAGAUAAAUCAGGCUGUACAAGAAACAUGGUGCUCACAUCUGCAUCUGGUGAGGGCCUCAAACUGUUUCCCCUCAUGUUGGAAGGCCAAGGGGAGCCAACGUGCAGAGAUCACAUG
rnacentral:lncRNA from 1 species